GGGGACUCCUGGGAAUUUGAAAGGGCUUGACUCCUUGCUGGAAAGGGUCUAGUUAUACAGAUUUGAGACAGAAAAGGCCGUAAGCACACGGAUCGGGGCCGUUUGAGCGAGUGCAGCGCCAAAACUUGUCGAACUGCAGGUCCGCCUCCGAUGUUCGGUUGAUUCGCGGGUUUCAAAUAUCUUCGUGGGUUGGGUAAACGUAAAACUUCACGAAUCACACAGAUCUCGCUCUCGCUCUCUCGCUCACACUUAUGCUCUCGCUCUCGCUCUCGCUCUCUCUCUCU
rnacentral:misc_RNA from 1 species